rnacentral:rRNA from 1 species
AGAGUUUGAUCAUGGCUCAGGACGAACGCUGGCGGCGUGCUUAACACAUGCAAGUCGAACGAGAUGCCUUCGGGUGUCUAGUGGCGAACGGGUGAGUAACACGUGAGCAACCUGCCCCUGGCUCUGGGAUAGCCUCCGGAAACGGGGAUUAAUACCGGACAUGACCUGCGCGGGCAUCUGUGCGGGUGGAAAGUUUUUCGGCUGGGGAGGGGCUCGCGGCCUAUCAGCUUGUUGGGGGGGUGACGGCCCACCAAGGCGACGACGGGUAGCCGGCCUGAGAGGGCGGCCGGCCACACUGGGACUGAGACACGGCCCAGACUCCUACGGGAGGCAGCAGUGGGGAAUAUUGCACAAUGGGCGCAAGCCUGAUGCAGCGACGCCGCGUGCGGGAUGAAGGCCUUCGGGUUGUAAACCGCUUUCAGCAGGGGCGAAUUCAGGACGGUACCUGCAGAAGAAGCGCCGGCUAACUACGUGCCAGCAGCCGCGGUAAUACGUAGGGCGCGAGCGUUGUCCGGAUUUAUUGGGCGUAAAGAGCUCGUAGGCGGCCUGUUGCGUCCGCUGUGAAAUCCCGGGGCUCAACCCCGGGCGUGCAGUGGAUACGGGCGGGCUGGAGGCAGGCAGGGGAGAACGGAAUUCCCGGUGUAGCGGUGAAAUGCGCAGAUAUCGGGAGGAACACCGGUGGCGAAGGCGGUUCUCUGGGCCUGUGCUGACGCUGAGGAGCGAAAGCGUGGGGAGCGAACAGGAUUAGAUACCCCCGUAGUCC